rnacentral:rRNA from 1 species
UACGGGGGGGGUAAGCGUUGUUCGGAAUCACUGGGCUUAAAGGGCGCGUAGGCGGGCAUUCAAGUCUGUGGUGAAAUCCUCCGGCUCAACCGGAGAACUGCCUCGGAUACUGGGUGUCUCGAGGGUGAUAGGGGUAUGCGGAACUAUCGGUGGAGCGGUGAAAUGCGUUGAUAUCGAUAGGAACUCCGGUGGCGAAGGCGGCAUACUGGAUCACUUCUGACGCUGAGGCGCGAAAGCCAGGGGAGCAAACGGG